rnacentral:lncRNA from 1 species
CUGAUUUCAAUUAAUUCCUCUUUACCACAUUUUUUGAAUUUGCCUUUGCAUGCAAGAUUUAGUGAGCAGGCAAGUAUACUUAUAUUCAGUAAUACUGUUGUCAGAAGCAGAAAUAAUGAAUAGAUUAUCAUAUGUUUAACAGACGUUACAAGAGAAGAUCUCCCAAGCAACUCAUCUGCAUAUUAAAGUGUUUCUGAGUUUAAGGGAAUCAGAAUCAUAGAUCUUCUAAAUUGAAAGGGACCCUUAAAAAGCUGUCUGGUCCAACUCCCUUGCAAUGGACAGGGAGGGACACCUACAGCUAGAUCAGUUUGCUCAGAGCGCCAUGCAGCCUGACCUUGAAUCUUACAUGGGAAGGGGCAUCCACUACCCCUAAACUUUCUCCUGCUGAUUUCCAAUCUCUGAUAGAUGCAUCUCUUAGUUCUUUAAGUAGACUUGCAACAUUCUUUAGAAAUCUCCUGAAAUCUCUGGGCAGAUUCUUAUUCACCUUGGUGAACUUUGCAUUUAGUAAUUUGAACUUCCAAUUCUUCAUUUGACAAAAAAGUUUAUAAUAUAGUUUUAUAAAGACCGCCAGCUGACCACAUGGUUUUAUAUAUUCUAUAAUUUGGUGGGCAAACUGUGGAUUUUAAAUUUCCUAGUGCCAAAAGUAAAUCUGAAAAGGCUAAAAAAUAUUCAAACCAUCAGAAAGCUCCAAAUUAAUAUAAAUUACAUGCCACAGAAUAGUGUGUGAAUAAGCAGAUGCUGUAGAGGAUAGUUCCAGUGGACUGCUUAUUAAAGAAUAAAUAAUGGCAUCUAAAAGCAAUGCAGCUCAAUGACACAGGUCAUUGACUUGGACUUCUCUGCUGGGAAUGAUUAAAGUGGCAUUUAGCUCUACUGGUUGACUCGCUAGGGUGCUGAAAAACAUCACAUCAAUACAAAUCUGCUUAGCUGCUCGCAGGAAAAUGACGUCAUGGAAACAUAAAGUGAAGGAUGAGGAUGGAAAAGAGGAAAGCAUACUUGAAGAGAAUGUGUGGUCCCCUGUGACACGACUAUCAUCCUCACCUUUCUUGUGUUCAGAAGUGUGAGACUGGAAUUCAUCUGCCUGUAAGUAAAUACUGGCUAUUAGUCUUAGAG